rnacentral:rRNA from 1 species
CCUACGGGAGGCAGCAGUGGGGAAUCUUGCGCAAUGGGCGAAAGCCUGACGCAGCGACGCCGCGUGAGGGAUGAAGGUCUUCGGAUCGUAAACCUCUGUCAGCAGGGAAGAACGGUCACUGUGCUAAUCAGCAGUGAAUUGACGGUACCUGCACAGGAAGCACCGGCUAACUCCGUGACAGCAGCCGCGGUAAUACGGCGGGUGCGAGCGUUAAUCGGAAUUCCUGGGCGUAGAGCUCUCGUAGGCGGUAUGUCAAGUCAAGGGUGAAAUCCCCGCGCUCAACGUGGGAACUGCCUUUGAAACUGGCAAACUGGAGUGUGUGAGAGGAUAGUGGAAUUCCAGGUGUAGGAGUGAACAGCGUAGAUAUCUGGAGGAACAUCAGUGGCGAAGGCGACUAUCUGGCACAUAACUGACGCGGAGGAGCGAAAGCGUGGGUAGCAAACAGGAUUAGAUACCCUGGUAGUC